rnacentral:misc_RNA from 1 species
GUAGGUGAACCUGCGGAGGGAUCAUUAACACGUGCCAAAACACGUUUUAAACCAAUCGCUCUGUGAACACAAACCCAACUCCCUUCACAUGUGGACGAUCGAACAACCAUCAGGGUGGAGUGUGUUAGGUACGGAUCUCUGAAAGGAGGCACUUCGUAUCUCGCACAACUAUGGCUCGGUCUAGGGCACCUCGAGUGUCCAAUCCUAUGUGAAGUGAUGCGCGACCACCUGACAGUAUGCCCUUUCAAGG